AUUGAACGCUGGCGGCAGGCCUAACACAUGCAAGUCGAGCGGAUGAAGGGAGCUUGCUCCUGGAUUCAGCGGCGGACGGGUGAGUAAUGCCUAGGAAUCUGCCUGGUAGUGGGGGAUAACGUCCGGAAACGGGCGCUAAUACCGCAUACGUCCUGAGGGAGAAAGUGGGGGAUCUUCGGACCUCACGCUAUCAGAUGAGCCUAGGUCGGAUUAGCUAGUUGGUGGGGUAAAGGCCUACCAAGGCGACGAUCCGUAACUGGUCUGAGAGGAUGAUCAGUCACACGGGGACUGAGGCGAGGUCCAGAGUGCGAGGGGAGGGGGGAGUGGGGUAUAGAGGACUAGGGUGGGACGCGUGUGCCGGCCGGGCUGCGUGUGUGCAGAGGGUUUGAGGAUUGUAGAGUAUUGUGGGGGGGGAGGAGGGGCAUUAUUUUAAUCUUGUGUUUGUUUGACGUCACAAAAAGCAUAAGCAUCGGCUAACUUCGUCACAGCAGCCGCAGAAAUAAUCGGACGCCCCCACGUCUCAAC
rnacentral:rRNA from 1 species